rnacentral:rRNA from 1 species
CACGUGGGCAACCUGCCCCGAAGCGGGGACAACGGCUUGAAAGAGCCGCUAAUACCGCAUGUGCAUUCUUCCCGGCAUCGGGUGGUAUUGCAAAGGGCUUCGGUCGUAAGGCCGUGGCUCGCUUCGGGAUGGGCCCGCGGCCUAUCAGCUAGUUGGGGGGGUAACGGCCCACCAAGGCUUCGACGGGUAGCUGGUCUGAGAGGACGAUCAGCCGGAUUGGGACUGAGAUACGGCCCAG